GUGCUCACUUCUGUAGCACGUAUACUAAAAUUGGAAUGAUACAGAGAAGAUUAGCACGGCCCCUGCACAAGGAUGACAUGCAAAUCUGUGAAGCAUUCCAUAUUUUU
rnacentral:snRNA from 1 species